rnacentral:rRNA from 1 species
UGGGGAAUAUUGGACAAUGGGGGCAACCCUGAUCCAGCGACGCCGCGUGAGUGAAGAAGUAUUUCGGUAUGUAAAGCUCUAUCGAUAACGGAAGAAAAUGACAAGCCGUUAAGGAAGAAGCCCCGGCUAACUACGUGCCAGCAGCCGCGGUAAUACGUAGGGGGCAAGCGUUAUCCGGAUUUACUGGGUGUAAAGGGAGCGUAGACGGCAUAUAAAGUCUGAAGUGAAAUCCCGCAGCUCAACUGCGGAGUUGCUUUGGAAACUUAUAAGCUGGAGUGUCGGAGGGGUAAGCGGAAUUCCCAGUGUAGCGGUGAAAUGCGUAGAUAUUGGGAGGAACACCGGAGGCGAAGGCGGCUUACUGGAAGAUAACUGACGUUGAGGCUCGAAGGCGUGGGUAGCAAACAGGAUUAGAUACCCUGGUAGUCCACGCAGUAAACGAUGAAUACUAGGUGUCGGGAGGGAUGACCCUUUCGGUGCCGUCGCAAACGCAAUAAGUAUUCCACCUGGGGAGUACGUUCGCAAGAAUG